rnacentral:rRNA from 1 species
UACGAAGGGGGGCUAGCGUUGCUCGGAAUGACUGGGCGUAAAGGGCGCGUAGGCGGUUUGCACAGUCAGAUGUGAAAUUCCUGGGCUCAACCUGGGGGGCUGCAUUUGAUACGUGUAGACUUGAGUGGGGAAGAGGGUCGUGGAAUUCCCAGUGUAGAGGUGAAAUUCGUAGAUAUUGGGAAGAACACCGGUGGCGAAGGCGGCGACCUGGUCCUUGACUGACGCUGAGGCGCGAAAGCGUGGGGAGCAAACAGG